GCGGUCAGUCUCGGUGAGGCCCCACCUUUUUGCCCUUGCCUGGUUGGAGGAUGGCCACGUCAGUCACUAGAGCAGGCUCCGCCUCUGGGACAGGAAUCAAACUCAGAUCAUCAGGCUUGCACAGUAGGAAGAAGAGCUUCUUUUGCUUUCUGAGCCAUCUUGAUUAAAAGGUUCAUUGAUGGGGCUGGAGAGAUGGCUCAGCG